UCCUUCUCAGAGUUCCCCUGUGGCUGAGUGGAUUACAGAACUUGAGUCUUGGCUUUUUUCCUAGUUGCAUCUCUCUGCUUACCCGUCCUGAGUUGAGUGUAUUCCAGAUGUAGUCUCGUAACUUCUCAUCUGACACAUCUUUGCCAACUUCCUUCUGCAGCUGUGUCAGCCAAACAAGCACUUCCUGUGGGUAAGAUUUGGAGAAUACAAGAGUGUCAAUGCAUAUGCCAGGAGAGACUGCCAGGAGUGAGAAAAACAUGGAGCAAGAGAAAAAGAAUAAUCUUACCUGAUUUGCCAGCCCAUGUAGGGGCCCUGCCAGCCCAUUCAUGGCUGCUGCAAAGGACAAGUAGGGGUCUGAAAGGGCACUGCCCACCAAAUGGCUGGUAUGAGCACUUACAUUGCCACCUUCAUGGUCACUGUGGGGAAGUAAGAUAAGAGAAUGAAGGCCAAGGCCAAGAGAAAGGAUAAAAGGGGCAGAUUAUGGAAACACAGACCUUGUUGUUCUCUUAUUGUCACAUUCUAGUCUAGCUAUGGGCCCACACCAGCCUAUAGGCAGUCAUUUACACCUAAGUUCCUUUUUUUUUUUGUGGCUGUGCCUACAGCACACAGAAGCUCCAGGGCCAGGGACUGAACCUGAGCCACAGCAGUGACAACGCUGGAUCCUUCACCCAGUGUACCACCAGGAAAUUCCUAUACAUAAGCUCUUUUAAGAGAUGUCCUAAUCUCAUUAUUAGCCUUUGUUCACUAAUCCACAGGGCUGGAGCAGUUACUGGGCGACAAAACCUGGUCUGUGUUUCCCUAAUUCUCACUCCAGUUUUAAUAGCAAUGGCCAGAAGAGGGAGCUCCUGGAAAGCCAAAGGACCCAUCCAAUGGUCAGCUAGUACCUUUUCCUAGCAUGGUUAUGAUAAUUUCUCCAGAUCUCCUGACCUUCUUUAGCAGACCCUUUCUUGCCUUGUAUCAUCCCUUAUGCUGUGUUUCCAUUUCCUUGCUGCUACCACCUGUUCCCAGAAUAUAAGAAUGUUAAGAA